CUUAAAUUUACAUACAUUUUUUUUUUCUUGAUUGGAAUUUGGGCUUUUUGUUCCUCCUUAAUCCCAAAGUUCUGUAAUUUAUGCAACUUCGUUCGAAAGACAUGUUUUUUAUUGCUGAAACUUGUUAACCCCAGUUUAGAUAUUCAUUUGCUCAUUAAAAUAGCGUUUUGGGUUCCUUAACCGAACCUCCUUGCUCCUCUUUUAACUCUAGAAUCUUGAGAAUAUAUGUGGGUUUUGCUUUGAAUUUGAUAAACCUCUGUGUGUUUGUGAGCUGAUACAGUUUUUGGGUACUAAGUCGAAAUUUUGUUGGACAGGAACCCAUAAACAAAUAUGAGGAAGUAUGUGAAUCAUCACUCAGCAAGGGUGAUUGGCGAUAGAAAUUGGGUUAUUCCAUUCAUUACUUGUUUCUCAAAUUUGCUUGAUGGAAAGAUUGUUUUAUCCUUUACUAAACAGUUGUUAGGAUUAAUAGUUUUGAUUUCUUUUGAAUUUAUUAUUUUAUUUUAUUUUGAAGCCCUGAAUUUUGCAAGGACUGUCUACCCUGUAUGUACACCAGAUGCUCCUGACAUUUCAAAUAAGUUGGUGUCACUAGAUGGUCUACUAAAGCAGCUAAGGGUAUUGAAAUCAGUUAUGGUUGAUUGGUGGUGGGGAAUUGUAGAGGGAUAUGGUAGACAUAAGUAUAAUUGGAAUGGAUACAAGAGGCUCUUUCAGAUGGUGCAUGCCUGUUUUAUAUAAAUACGUUUUUUCACUUGCACAAGCUCUUUUCUCUCAGUGGGCAUAUAAACACCACCUGUGGUUAAUUGUUUUGCAAUCUUUGUGGUCAUUUUUAUUCUUUCCAUGGUUUCCUGUAAUGCUUGGCAAAGUUUUGAGAUUUAGUCUCUACAAUGUGGGAACCAAGGAACUCACUUCCCUUUUAUGCUCUGAAUUAUAAUCAUUUGGGCAUGGUUUCUCUCUAGGAUAAAGCUUCUGUCUGGCUAUAUAUAUGGAAUUGGGUUUGUGUAAUUAAUGUCAAAUAAUUGAGUUCAACAUAGUUAUAUUCCUUGGCUUAAGGUUUCAUCUUUCUUCCUUCGUU